rnacentral:lncRNA from 1 species
GUCGGUAACUCUGACAUGCCGAUGGUCUUCCGUCGGAAAUUAACUAAAUUGUCUGUUGAUAAUUGAGAAUAGCCGACUGUCGAUUGAUCAACUGAUUGUUAGUCAGUAUAUUGUGUUUAUGAGGCCGAUCUAUAGUCAGAAUCGGGAGUCGGUUGAAUUGUCCCAACAACUUUAUAAAUUUGAAAUCGUGGGUUCAACAUACGAUUUCAACUGAGGUGACGGUGAAACCUUAAUUU